GUCUUCUGGUCCGACUCAGGAAGCGUGCACAACACCCACCACUCCCGAGUAAUUUACUCGCUAAUGUCCAAUCUCUGGAUAAUAAAAUUGAUGAUCUCAAGGCAAGAGUUGCUUUUCAGAGGGACACCAGGGAUUGGAAUGUACUCUGCUUCACGGAAACAUGGCUCUCUCUCUAUAUACUGUCUGACUCUGUAAAGCCAGUUCGGUUCUCAGUACAUCCCACCGACAGGAACAAACAUCUCUCCGGGAGGCAGAAGGAUGGAGAGACAAGGAAAACCAGCCACGUCGCGGACACCAACGUCUUGCUUCCAGACAGGCUGAACACCUUCUUCGCUCACUUUGAGGAUAAUACAGUCCCACCGACGCGGCCCGCUACCAAGGACUGUGGGCUCUCCUUCUACGUGGCCGAUGUGAGUAAUACAUUUAAGCGUGAUAACCCUCGCAAGGCUGCCGGCCCAGAUGGUAUACCUAGCCGUGUCCUCAGAGCAUGCGCAGAUCAGCUGACUGGUGUGUUCACAGAUACAUUCAAUCUCUCCCUAUCCCAGUCUGUUGUCCCCACAUGCUUCAAGAUGGUCACCAUUGUCCCUGUAUCUAAGAAAGCAAAGGACCUGAGCCCUAGGACCAUGCCCCAGGACUACCUGACAUGAUGACUCCUUGCUGUCCCCAGUCCACCUGACCGUGCCGCUGCUCCAGUUUCAACUGUUCUGCCUUAUUAUUAUUCGACCAUGCUGGUCAUUUAUGAACAUUUGAACAUCUUGGCCAUGUUCUGUUAUAAUCUCCACCCGGCACAGCCAGAAGAGGACUGGCCACCCCACAUAGCCUGGUUCCUCUCUAGGUUUCUUCCUAGGUUUUGGCCUUUCUAGGGAGUUUUUCCUAGCCACCGUGCUUCUACACCUGCAUUGCUUGCUGUUUGGGGUUUUAGGCUGGGUUUCUGUACAGCACUUUGAGAUAUCAGCUGAUGUACGAAGGGCUAUAUAAAUACAUUUGAUUUGAUUUGAUUUGGUCAGUACAGGUGCAUCAAAGCUGUGACCGAGAGACUGAAAAACAGCAUCUAUCUCAAGGCCAUCAGACUGCUAAAUAGCCAUCACUAGCACAUCAGGGGGGGCUGCCUUAUAGACAUAGAUGAGGAAUUACUGGCCACUUUUAAUAAUGGAUCACUAGCCACUUUAAUAAUGUUCCGUAUCUAGCAUUACUCAUCUCAUAUGUAUAAACUGCAC
ensembl:lncRNA